rnacentral:lncRNA from 1 species
ACAUUUGGAAAUAUGGGAACAUAUUUUAGCCUUGGAUUCUUAAGGCUUCUUCGUCACAGUUACAUGAAUGAUUGAUGGUUCUACCAUAAACACAGUUGUGUUAUAAGGCUUCUUUUUUUUUCUUAAUUUCUUGUGUGUACCAAAAGAAUUCAUAAUUAUUAUCUCAAAAAGAUAUUGGAUAAGCGACAAUAUCACAAGCAAUCUCUUUU